ensembl:lncRNA
GCCAGGUCGGGUGGGGUAGGCAGCUUCGGAACUGAGUCACUCUCCUCCGGAAAGCGAGGACAGUGCAGGAAGUGGAGUUCCAUGGCCAGCUGCCUCCUUGGGAAGAGUGGGAGGGGAGCAGUGGCUGCGUAAGGGCGUGGUCCUCUCCAGGGAGCCCUGCUGUGGCUCCCAGAGGCCCACUGAGCCCCAGGCCCCCAGGCCCCAGCUGCUUCUCAGGCCCUCCCUGCAGGCUCCCUCCUGACCACCCGCUGUCCCCCAGCACAGCAGGACCCACCACUCCUCAUGCUGGCCGCAGCUCCCACGUCCCCUGUCCCAGAGGCUGGGGCGACCUUGGCUCACAGCCCCGCAGGCCACCCCUGUAGGCAGGAGAACCCUACUCCCUGCUGGCCCUGACCUCUGAGAGGGUCAGAGCUGGGAUCAAAUCACCAGAUCGAGCAGCGAAAUACAUCGGAAGGGUCUGAAAGUCACUUUCACCCAGCCCAACCUUGAGCAACGAUGGCCACGCCGUGUUCCAGAGACAGAGAAGGCUGAGACGGUUGAGCAGUGGCAUGGGAUAGCACUGUAACGCUUUAUUUGAAAAGACAACAACAACUUGCAUUCCAUUUGGUUUUCAUUGGAAGGAAUCGCUGAAUUCCAAGUGUUUCAUCAGGAUGGAAGCCGGUGGUUCCUGAAAGUCUCCCUUGAAGAAGUAAAAGGGCUUGGAAGACCCCACAGCGGGCAGGUGGCCGGCACCUCGGUCCUGGGUGGACGUCAGACCCUCUCUGGCUUCCUCGUCUCCCUCUGCUUUCUGGAUGAGCGGCCUGAAUGGUCACACUGGAAGACCUCUCACCACGCCCGCUGAUCCUGGAGCGGCACCCGGCCCAGGCAGAGUGUGUGCUUUGUCUCCAGGAAGCAAGCAGGACUUCCUGCCAACAGCCCCCAGACCAGGGCCUGCCCAGCCACCCUGGACCCGCAGGCUCUGGGCCCCAGCCAGCACCCUGUCCUGAACAGUGGAGUGUUAUUUGCCCCCCACUCUGCAUCUGGCUCCUGGGCUUGGCGUCAGGCCCAAGAGGGUGGCCCUGGCUGUGGGGCACCAAACCUGCCUUGCUCACCAUCUAUAGCCCUCGGGCACACUAGUGGCUUCCAGCUGUGGCUUCUGUGUGGCCCUGGCCCUUCUAGCACUGGGAUGCAUUGUUCGAGUGGAGGUGCACUCUGAGGCAUGUGUUGCUAGGCAACAUCAUCAUCCUGUGAGCAUCACCGAGUGCUUACACAAAUUAAGAGCACGGUGACCUUGCUAGGUGACCGGGUUUAUGGGAUCACAGUGACACCUGUGGCCCAUCGUUGACGAGCUGUUGCCAUGGAGCACAAGGCGCAGUGCUGGUGAACAUCUGUGCACGUUUCUGUUGGGCAGGUUGUGGGUUAAUAGGCACCAGCCACCGCUCCCACCCCUGCUGAACUGGCUCUCGAUGCUGCUAGCGCCCUCAGGAGCUCUGCACCGUGCUGACAGUCGGGAGUUUUACCUCCUCAUGUUGACCUGUCUCGGGCUGUGUGACCUGGUGGGUCCCACGAUGGCGACUGAGCUGGGCACCUUUCCGUGUGCUCACUGGCACUGGGCAGUGAGGCGUCCCCAGGCUUGCGCCUGCUUUCCAAGGUGUCAUCACCCCUGCUGUGGGCUUGUGGGGCCCAGGUACACUGCACGUGCACCAGUCCUUUGAGCUCUGCUGCUGAGUGUGCGGCAGACACCCGCCUUCUGCUGUGGUCAUCGUUAUGUGAAGUCUCACACAUACCUAACCUCUCCAGGAUAUUGCAGAUUCUCUCGGCACAUCUGUGAGCCGUGAGGCUCACCAGGCUCAUCCUUCCUGGUGUUCUUUAGGUGCUCUCCGCACUCAGCUUUGCAUCUGGGAUCGUUUCCUUUUGCCUACUUGCUUCUCUUUCAGCCUUCCUUUCAGUCUAGAGCUAUCCGAGAUGGGUUCCUCUGUUUUUUUGCUUGUCUGUAAAGUCUUUGUUUCACUUUCAUCUUGAAGGAUACUUUUGCUGGGCUCAGUACAGUAUUCCGGUUGCUGUAUUCAUUUGCUUUGUCCUCUGGCUCCCGCCAGCCGCUUCUGCUGGCUGUUGGCCACCUCUUGCUGUUCCCUGCACGUCUGCGGAUUUGGGGUGAGCUCCACACAUCACUAAGACCCUAAGUAGGUCCAGGGGGCCUGAAGGCAGCAGUCCUGAUCACCAGUCCUGUUGUUUUGUGGAAACUUUACUAAUAUUGGCUUUAUUGUGCAAAAUUCCUCUUUGUAAGUCAUUCUUUGUUCUCUCUUUUUACCAGUUUUGUAACUUCUAAAAAACCCCUCCUUAAAAGGUUCAGAUGUUAAUUCUGAGUCAACUACUCCAGGGAAAGGGGAUAAAGAGUGACAAGCUCGUGUCCCUGGGCCUCCUAACCAGUCAUCUUCAGUGUUUCUGCAACACUUGGUGGGCUUCACGUAACAGGAACAUUUGGUUAGCACUUGCUAACCUGUUUCUUGGUGAAAAAAAUCCAACGUAAGUAGAAAGAAAAUGUUUAUCUAAAGGACUACAGGAUGGACCAGGAGUCAAGGAGGUCAUUUGUGAUCUCGGGAAUGUUCCAACUAAGAGAAAAACCCUCGAGGGUGUACAACUCAGAAGAGUGUGGCGGUGCACACCUGGUAUCUCAGCUACUGGGAAGGCUGAGGCAGGAAGGUGGUAAGUGAGCUCAUCCUGAGCAAUUAGUGAGAUCCUGUCUCAAAAUAAAAAACCAGAAAGGGGUGAGGAGGUGACUCAGUGGCAGAGCAGCCCCGAGUCCAACCCUCAGCACUGCAAAAACAAAACAAAACAAAGAAAAUUCCAAGGUAAGGGCUCUUGAGGGUGACUUGCUACUUCCUUGCCGAGGGUCUGCCCUUUCCAGGCAAUAGGCUGGGAGGCGAUCACAGACCUAGGCUGCAGGAGAUGCCCCAGGGAGACGGAAUUUCCAACGGCAGGUGCCGGCAUGUGGGAAAACAGCUGGGUGAUUCAGCCAACUGGGGGCCUCUCAGCCACUGCCUGCGCUGGCCCUGCUGUUAGGGAGCCGUGGGCCGGAUGGGGCGGAGUGCCCAUGAGAGCCCUCCCAGUGCCUCUGCUGUGCGGAGCAGCUGAGGGACCACAGUACCUGCCGGCACGGCCAUGGUGAGUCAGUGUUCCUUUGGUUUGUCCACAUUUUCUGAAUUUUUAAGCAGUGACUGUGUCUUGAGCUGUUUUGAGCUACAACUCCACACAGCGAAGGCACUGAGUCUCCUCGACAAGGCUGGAAACGCCGUGUGUCCCACCCUGGAGGCCCCGGCCCCUCAUUGUGUGCAGCCUGAGAUGCUCUCGAGUCUUCUGGCCACCAGCCUGGGCCUUGGUCACCUGCCCGGCUGGGGUGCCAUUGCUCCAGGGUCACCCAGGGCCACCUGGCCCAUGUGGACGAAGGCCUUCUGGUACUCAGGUCACCAUUUGCCCCACUGCAAGGGGUGGGAGGGGACAGCGGGUGCCAUCCAGUGAGCACGCGUGUGUGUGUGCGCGCGUGUGCCGGGGCCUGCUUGGGUCCUGUCCUUCUUGUAAGCUGUUUCCUGACAGCAUCGGACAGAGGCUGACACCUGGGCCCAGGGUGACACUCUUGGUGGGAUUCGGGUCACUCUCCAGGGAUCCGGGCCAUCGUCAUGAGUGCGGUGCUGUAAAGCAAGGCCGCCCCGUGGGCUGGCCCUGUCUUGCUUUUGGCUGCUGACUUCCUUGUUUCUCCACCAUAUUGUGAUGCAGCCACGGGCCUGCACCACAGGCUGCACAGCUGCUGCCCAGGCCUGACCAAGCACAGACUUCCAGCCUCCACAGCUGUGAGCUCAGUGAAACCCUUUGGGCUUCCAGCAGGAGAGAGAUCCUCACUCCAGACAGGGCCGAACCUCCGGGUCCUGAGGAAGGUCACAAGGCAGCAGAGAAGUGACCCCAAAUGACGAGUGCAAAGCUCGGUCCUGCAAAUACAGAGGGAUGCACAGCUCAGCACAGUCCUUGUCACGCACGUGUGCAUGUGUAGAGGGAACCCAGGUCUGAGAGGCAGCAGCUUUCCAAGCAUGGGCGGCAGGAUUUGAACCCAGAUCCCCGUGAACCUGAGCCCUCGGUCCCGCUCCUGCCACUGGGUGACUCUGGGUCUGUGGGGUCUGUGGUCACUGGGGGGCUGCCUCGGUGGGCCCCUUUGUGCAGAGGAUGAGGGGCCCCUUAUCAUCCAAACCAGGACACCACGGGGAGGGAGGCAGGGCUCCCCAGGUGAAGCCCCUGCUGUGGCCUCGCGCAGGCACCUGGCGGCCAGUGGCGUCAGCGCUGCGCCCUGUGUUCCGCUAGGAGUCUGCGGGUCCCCUCCGUCCGCGGGUGUGAGCAGGGCCGCGGCCUGGGCUGGGGACCCUCUGCGUGGCUCGCUCACGCGUGGCCCCGGGCCCCUGUCCAGAAGGCUCAGGCGUCCUCAGGGAGCAGCCUGACCAGCCUCACUUCCGCCGCCGGCCUCCUGGGGGCAGCAGAGAGCGAGGUGGCAGCCGGCACGGAGGCGGCUCCGCCUCUGCCCGGGCCCGGAGGCCCUCGGCUCUGCUCGUACACGAGUGCGCGUGCGCGCACCCUUGUGUGGGCGGCCCCCGGCAGACGAAGUGGGGUCCCCAGUCCGCCCCUGAGCAGCCCCCCGCGGCCCCCUCUGGGUUCCGCUUCUCCUGCCUCUCCGCCCAGUCCGAGCCCCGCGUGGUCCUGGGGUCGCUCCCGCGGGCCCUGCUGCUCCAGGUGAGGAAGGGCC